rnacentral:SRP_RNA from 1 species
GCCAGGUGUGGUGGCGCACGCCUGUUGUCCCAGCUACUCCAGAGGCUGAGACAGGAGGAUCACUUGAGCCCAGGAGUUUGAGGCUGCAGUGAGCCAUGAUCAUGCCAUUGCACUCCAGCCUGGGCCAUAGAGCGAGACCCCGUCUCAA